UCCUCCCUCUGUCGGCGUGCUUAACACAUGCAAGUCGAACGGAAAGGCCCUGCUUUUGUGGGGUGCUCGAGUGGCGAACGGGUGAGUAACACGUGAGUAACCUGCCCUUGACUUUGGGAUAACUUCAGGAAACUGGGGCUAAUACCGGAUAGGAGCUCCUGCUGCAUGGUGGGGGUUGGAAAGUUUCGGCGGUUGGGGAUGGACUCGCGGCUUAUCAGCUUGUUGGUGGGGUAGUGGCUUACCAAGGCUUUGACGGGUAGCCGGCCUGAGAGGGUGACCGGCCACAUUGGGACUGAGAUACGGCCCAGACUCCUACGGGAGGCAGCAGUGUGGAAUAUUGCACAAUGGGCGGAAGCCUGAUGCAGCAACGCCGCGUGCGGGAUGACGGCCUUCGGGUUGUAAACCGCUUUCGCCUGUGACGAAGCGUGAGUGACGGUAAUGGGUAAAGAAGCACCGGCUAACUACGUG
rnacentral:rRNA from 1 species